AGUGCAUUUAAUCUCCCUCAACCCUUAAAAGAAAAUAUUCUUCUAAUUUUACUCCUGUGGUAACCUCUUGUCUUCCUCACAGUUACUUUUUGGCUGGUGUUCACUUCUGAGAUCUUUUAUAAUGUUUCAGUGUUCUUUGAGCAGUGGCACUUGCAUGCUGCAACCAGACAUGGAUGAUGAAAGCCAUAUGCAAAAGAAAUGGUCCUCCUCUGAAGAGCUCACAGACUGCAGGUGCUGGUGGGGAAAAGGUGGAUUCCCAAAGCAGCUACUUGGCAUUAUUGGCAGCAGCAAUCUGAAAAGAAAGAGCCAACCAGACUGCAGCUUUGUUUGGCAUCAAACUUGCCUCCUGAGAUGAUCACACAAGAAGUCUUUUAUCACUUUGGCAGCUGAGAGCCAGAGCUGCUUGUGGUGGAAGUCGCUGGGACCGUAACCCCGAGUUGUCGUGGGAUGAGAGUCAAGCUUGGCCUGUCAGCAAGGCGAGUUGCAGCAGUCUGAGCCCCUGCCAGGACACGUCAGUACUUCUGAGCGUGCUUCCCCCGGUGCUGCUCUCAUUAAGGAAAAGGCUAGAAGCUCUUUGAGGAAGAGACUGGCUGUGUGGUUUGUGCCUGUUUAUAUUGUCCCACAGCUGGAGCUUCUGGACAUGUCCACUGCCAAAAACAUCCCCUCCACUGUGGGUGAUGGAUGAUGCAAAAGGAUGGCAUAAUAUAGCAAUGAAGAGCUGAAAAUAGGUGGUUUGAAUUAAGUAAAACAUAUGGGAUUUUCUCCAG
ensembl:lncRNA